rnacentral:rRNA from 1 species
GACGAACGCUGGCGGCGUGCUUAACACAUGCAAGUCGAACGGAAAGGCCUCUUUCGGGGGGUACUCGAGUGGCGAACGGGUGAGUAACACGUGAGUAACCUGCCCUAGACUUUGGGAUAACUUCAGGAAACUGGGGCUAAUACCGGAUAGGAGCUCCUGCUGCAUGGUGGGGGUUGGAAAGUUUCGGCGGUUGGGGAUGGACUCGCGGCUUAUCAGCUUGUUGGUGGGGUAGUGGCUUACCAAGGCUUUGACGGGUAGCCGGCCUGAGAGGGUGACCGGCCACAUUGGGACUGAGAUACGGCCCAGACUCCUACGGGAGGCAGCAGUGGGGAAUAUUGCACAAUGGGUGGAAGCCUGAUGCAGCAACGCCGUGUGCGGGAUGACGGCCUUCGGGUUGUAAACCGCUUUCGCUCAUGACGAAGCUUUGUGUGACGGUAGUGGGUAAAGAAGCACCGGCUAACUACGUG